rnacentral:lncRNA from 13 species
CUGCCUUCACACUUCUCUUCUAUGACAGGAAGACACUAAACUCUUCCUACCCAGUCUAGAGUCAUUUGGUUAGUUAGAGGUAGUUCAAAAUUUGCAUGGAGGAAAAAAUCAAGAUGUGAAGCAGAUUUCUAAAUAGCUGAUGUAUUAAUCACCUUUGUUCAGAUUUUUGUUGUCUUUGAGUCACAAGGUGGAAAAGACCUUCAAACAUAUGAACAUGUUUCACUCUCCAUUUUUCCAUUUCCCCAAGAAGGGCAGCCCAGUCUCUCCGUGGAUGUCUUCUAUAAAGUAUUGUCAUCCAAGUUUCAGGAAGACUCAGAAACUGGAACGCUAAGUGACAAGACUGGAGGGAGGAGAGGGCCCUCCUGGAGGCUGCUUCUAGGAGCGGUAAACUUCAUAGUCAGACUCAUCCUAAUGAUAUGGGAGCAGAAGAAAGCAAUCAAAUAUUGAACCAUUGCUUAUUUCAGGCCAGAAACAUUGAGCAUUGCUUUGAUGUCCACAUCCUGACUGCAUGCUCCUCAGCUCUGCAAAUAUUGCCAAAAGAAGGCCUCAAGAGUCAGAGAUGUCUUGGAUAUUUCUGUAUUUCAACCUUUACUACCCAGACACCCAGACAAGAAAUGAUUAACCUUGGGUGCUGCCUGAUUCCAGAGAUACACCACCAGACCCAUAUGAAUGCUGCCUACACACAAAGAAGCUUGGCCAUUAGACUCAGACUGUCUCUCCCAUCUUGUUCUCCAGGGCCCUGAAUGUAGGCUGAGAAGACAAGCAUGAAACCAAAAGGCUUUGUAUAUAAUGUAUAUUGGUUUCCUAUGGCUACUCUAGCAACUUAACACAAACUUAAUGGCUUAAAACAACACAAAUGUAUUAUCUUACAGUACUUUAGAUCAGAAGUUUGGCAUGGGUUUACCUGGACUAAUAAGCAAGGUAUCUAUGGGGUUACAUUCUGUUCUGAAGGCUCCAUGGGAGAAUCCCUUUCCUUCCCUUUCCCGUCUUUUAGACACUGCCUAUUUUCCUUGGUAUGUGGCCUCAUUUCUUCCAUCUCUCUGACUCUUCUCUAUCUCCAGUCUCUCUCUAACCAUAGACAGGAAAGAUUAAUUACUUUUAAGGACACACUUUCUUAGACCGAAUAAUCCAGGAUAAUGUCAAGCUUCAUACCAUAGUAGACACGUAAAGCCCUUGUUGCCACUGAGUGAAAUAAACUCAGGUUCCAGUGUUAUGGUGUGAAUAUU